rnacentral:rRNA from 1 species
UACGUAGGGACCAAGCGUUGUUCGGAUUUACUGGGCGUAAAGGGCGCGUAGGCGGCUUAACAAGUCACUUGUGAAAUCUCCGGGCUUAACUCGGAACGGCCAAGUGAAACUGUCAAGCUAGAGUGCAGGAGGGGCAAUCGGAAUUCUUGGUGUAGCGGUGAAAUGCGUAGAUAUCAAGAGGGACACCUGAGGUGAAGACGGGUUGCUGGGCUGACACUGACGCUGAGGCGCGAAAGCCAGGGGAGCAAACGGG